rnacentral:rRNA from 1 species
AUUGAACGCUGGCGGCAGGCCUAACACAUGCAAGUCGAGCGAGCGGCGGACGGGUGAGGAAUGUAUGGGGACUGCCCGAUAGCGGGGGAUAACGACUGGACACGGUAGCUAAUACCGCAUACUAUCGGAUAACCCAUAUGGGAUUAGCUAGUAGGAGAGGUAAUGGCUCACUUAGGCGCCGAUCCCUAGCUGGUCUGAGAGGAUGAUAAGCCCACCUGGGGCUGAGACACGGCCCAGACUCCCACGGAGGCAGCAGUGGGGAAUAUUGCGCAAUGGGAGAAAGCCUGAUGGAGCCAUGCCGCGUGUAUGAAGAAGGCACUAGGGUUGUAAAGUACUUUCAGUCGGGAGACGUUACCGACAGAAGAAGCACCGGCUAACUCCGUGCCAGCAGCCGCGGUAAUAC